UUACGGUCAAAUCACGCUGAAAACACCGGUUCUCGUUCGAUCACCGAAGUCACCGAAGUUAAGCAUCGUCGUAGAGCCAGGUCAGUACUUAGAUGGGGACCGCUUGGGAACACCUGGUACUGUAAG